ACUAAAAACAGCUCCACUCAUUUUUCAAAGAAAAAUGAAUAAUAUUUUUAGAGAUUAUAAAAAUUUUAUAUUAGUAUAUGUAGAUAUUUUAGUAUUUAGCAAAGAUAUGCAGCAACAUUUAGGACAUUUACAAAUGGUAUUUAGUCUAUUUGUUAAAUACGGAAUAAUAAUUCGCAAAAAGAAAAUGGAUUUAUGUAAAACACAUUAAUUUCUUAGGAAUCACCCUAGGAAAUGGGAAGAUAAAACUAACAUCUCAUAUAGUCAAAAAGGUAUUAGAAAUGCCUGACAAAUUAGAAAAUACUAAAGACCUACAAAAAUUUUUAGGAUUAGUAAAUUACGCAAGAAACUUUAUUCAAGACUUAAGAAAAAUAGCAGGACUUUUAUAUGCUAAAACAGGCUGUAAAGGGCAGAAACAUUUUAAUCUAGAAGACAUUAAAUUAGUACAACAGAUUAAAGAAAAGGUUAAAAAUAUCCCAAAUUUAAAAAUUCCACUAGAAUCCGAUUAUUUAAUCGUCCAGAUUGAUGGAAGUAAAUUAGGAUGGGGAGCAGUGUUAAAAGUUAAACCUAAUAAAUAUAGUGAUAAAAAUGAAGAAAAAAUUUGUGCAUAUCAAAGUGGACAAUAUAAAGAAAAAGGUAAUAUGCCUAGUAUAGAUUUAGAAGUAUUAGCUAUAGUACAUGGUUUAAAUAGUUUUAAAUUAUAUAUUUUAAACAAAGAAGAAGUUUUAGUAAGAACAGACUGUGAGGCGAUUGUUAAAUUUAGCCAAAAAAUAAAUGAUAAAGCUAGUAGUAGAAGAAGAUGGUUAAAUUUUAUGAACACUAUAUCGGUAUAUAAGAACAUUGUUUUUGAAUAUAUUAAAGGUAAAGAAAAUGAAUUAGCGGACCAGUUAAGUAGGUUACAAUUAAAAACAAAAUUGGUUAACCAAAACUAAUGUUUGUUUCAGCAUGCGACCACCUGGUCAACAUACAACAGACAAGGGCAAGGGAGUAGCAUCUUCCUCAUCUCAAGACAUUUAUUAUCAGAGACUGCUAGGAAACGUUAAAUUUAGACCCCAAAAUUCUAUAGGACUUCAAAAUUCCAUAGAACCAAUGGAAAGAAUAGACUUUGGACCUUUUAAUUUAAUUUCUUUUCCACCCAGUAAUUAUUUGUUCAAACUUAGACCAGAACAUGUUUUAAACAGACCCCAAUAAUGUUUGGUAGAUAAUCUUUGGAUAGCACACCAUAAGCCAGACCACAAACAUUUUUUAGCCUCUAUAAAUGCUUUAUGUCAAUAUAUAUUAGACAAAAGUAAGCCUAGAUUCAAAUAUUAUGUCAUUAUACAUGGUAAAACAAAUGAAAUUUUUCAGACUUGGUUAGAAGUAAUGGACUCUAUAAAAGGUGUAAGAAAUCUUCUUUACAAAGGUUUUAAUGAUUUUUCCGAAGCUUUAGACUAUGCAAGAGGACAUCUUGGACCAAAUUUUUAUUUAUCACCAGCCCUCAGAUAAAAUCCAGACCAGACACCCCUAAUACAAUAUUCAAAGGGAUUCAGGAAAAAUAAUUUUUUGUGACCAUUGCACCUCAAUGACCGACGCCUUCAAAAGAUCAAAUCUUCGGAAGGAAGCUCUUAUUGUGGAAAAUUCUAGACUCAUGGAGCAAAUACAGACUCUACAAGACAAGCUUAGUAAAUAUCAGACAAGAAAGACUCAUGCAAGUACUCAGACACAUAGUUCUCCAUCUCCAUAAAAAAUGGAUGAGAAGGGUGUGCAUUCUCCUCUGAAUGCUCAGAAUUCCAAUGUAUCGGAUGUUGGUACAACUAGUCCGGUUCAAACGGUAACCGGUAAAGACAAAUUAAAUCCGUUUAUGGCUGUCACUUUGCCAAAAAGUGAAGAUGAAGCAGGACCUUCAUCAAAACCACCUAGAACUAGUACCUUAAAAAAGAUAAUAAUGGCGAAAAAGAAAAAUAAACAAAUUGAAAUUUACGUAAAACAGACAUUAGAGAAAUUCUUUAGUAGCCAAGAACAAGAUAAGCAUAUGGAUAGUAAAGACAAACCAUGUACAAGCACAGAUAGGGUAGUUCCAAACAUGAACAAUACUACAGACAUUAAUGUUCCAAGAUCGUCAGAUGAAGAAGACGAUAGAUUUGAAGAUAGUCUUCUCCAAGAUGCUCAGGAUCCCUAUGAAGAUGAUGACUUUGGAAUGAGCUUCGACACCAUAGCCCUACAUAACUUGGAUACAUAGACAGACAGAAGACAAGUGGAAAAGAAGAUAGAUACGUGGAAUAAUAAGAUGCAAGUAUUAUGAUGGUAUUAUGAUAAGAGUGCCAUGUGGGUAUGCCCACUUCGAGUCUUGUAAUUAGUCAAGUCCAUGUCAGAGUGCUUCCUUUAUCAUUACUUUCCCAAAAGAAAAGAAAAACUGUUGAAGCACGCGUUUAGAAAGGAGGAAUAAUAAUGCAUGUGACGAUGGAGCCCAAUCUGUACCCGACCUGCAUUAUUAAAGAAUCUUAUCCUUAUCUGUCGGCCAUAUUGUCCAGGCCACGUAGUUUAAUCCGAGUCCACUCCUUUUUUCUUAAUUUGGUCUAUAUAAGACUUAGAAAUAAUAGCGAAAGGUAGAUCGAAAAAACUCUGAAAACCUUUAGGGUGUGUUUUGAUGGUUGUUUUCAUUGUAUUGUAUUGUUCUUUUGAAAAGCUAUACAACAAAUAUAAAGCUGAAAUUAUAUUGGCUGACGUACAGGGCCUUAAUUGUCCUUUAAGUUCAGGUGUAGGUCUUUAAUAGGGCUGUGAUAAUUGGUUUGUCCGAGUUAGAUGGAAUCGGGAUUUGAUAGGCCGUAUCUUGGUGGGACAGUCCGGUUAUAGAAUUUGCAGCCAUGGUUUAACUCCCUCUGUUUGGCCUAUGAUUUUCAAUUAUCAGUCUUCUUUCUUUGUCAAAGAAAACCAGAAACAAAUUAUCUGGCGCCUUCGCCAUCACGCGUUAAUGGAUGCUUUCGUCCACAACUUCCAUAAUUUCUUGAAAUCUAUGGAAGAAUAAACAUUUUCUGAAAGAGGGUGUGAUGAUACCUUUUUAUUGGCUUUUCCAGAAAUGACUUUUUCUCCACUAUUUAAUUCCUGUCCUCAUUUCCAUCCGGGCAAUGAGACAUGCUGGCCCGUAUCUUGGCUUGGCAAACACCGAAAUAGCCUGUGAUUUGAGGCCUUUUCUUUCACGUGGAAUCGGUUUUUUCGCAGCCAUGGCGUGGUUGUCUUCUCCUUGCCCAUGAGAAACUGAUAUCUGAGCCUUAUUUUCUGAAUGUCCUCGGGACGGUCCAGGAGUCGAACACAAGACCGUUCAUCAAAACUCAUUUUGCCGCGUUUCAGUGAGAAUUUGGGAAUUUUCCCUUAUAAUGAUGUGGUAUGUCUGGGGAAUUCUUUUCAUUUGGGAACACUCUUUUUAUGCAACCAUUGAUUAGUCUUCAAUGGAAAGUUGUUCUCUGGAAUUGGGAUUCUUCAGUUUUAUGUGUUAGACUGACGUGAUAACCAACUACACUGCCAUAACAGUUUCAGCUAAAAGAAUAAGAUAUCGGGGGAUGUUUCUCAGUUGGGAUGCUUAUGUUCAGUUGUCUUAAUUUUGUCACACAAAAAGGGGAAACAAUUGGGCUGUGAUGAUUAUGUUUGCUGAUUGUGCAUUAGAUUUUUGUUGCCUAUAUCUUGGCAUGGCAACUUGAAUUUCUUCUGUUUACCAUGACAGGUGCCAGAAAAGUUGAUGCCCCAGAUACAAAUCUGAGCCACCAGUUGAAAGCAAAGUAUUAACAGUAGUAGUAGUACUUGGACCAUCGGUCUGAUUUAUGAGUUUAAUCCAAAGUAUCCUAAAACUAUGCAACUAUUUUCUCAGAAGUGGCGGUGAUGACAUUUGCUUAUCUGGGCUUCGAAAAUAGAGACAAUCGGACCUGCAUCUUGGCUUGGCAAACACCAGUUGCUAUGUGAUUUAAGGCUUCUCUUUCACAUGCAACUGUUACUUUUGUAGCCGCAGCAUGGUCUCUUUCUCAUUUCCCCAUUAAUAACACAGAUUGAGCCUCAAAAACUGUUAAGUAGUCUUGGACAUUGUUUGGUGGAAACCUAUUUUCACUUAUUUUGAAAGCCUGCUCGUAAAUGAGGCAUCAAUGAGAAAUGUGCAACUAUUUAUUUAUUUGCUUAUUCAGUCUGUUUUGCAAGUAAGCCAAGGAUUUCUUGCUGCUGCUACUGUUGAUUCUCGUCUUGCUGCUGCAUUGUUGAGUGAACAUCUAAACAGCGAGAAUCAUUCCAUAAAAAGGUGAAAAUUUGAGGCAGUGGUGACAUAUCUUGACAAAUAGCAUUAUUUUUCUGCAUUGAGAUGAUAUUAAGACUCGUAUCUUGGCAGGGCAAUCUGUUGAAGGUUGCAGCCAUAGCAUUUCUGAGUAACUUAAUACUUAUCAUAGAGAGAUCUGAGCCUCGGAUCAAGUACUUUCUAUAUUUAUUAACUCCUUACACCCAACAACCUAUGUGACAUGUAAGACCACUAGAUUUAAAUGGCAUUUUAGUACAUUACACACCUAUGGUUCCUCCAUUAGUUCAACCAGUAGUCCUCUUCCUCUUUAUUCCUCAUAGAAAACCAAUAUCUGGCCCCUUCGCCAUCAUGCUUACUGGAAUCUUAAUAUGAGCUUAGUCCAAAACUUCCAGUGUUUCUUGGAAAUUUGGAAAAGAAUAACCAUUUUCUGAAAGAGGUGGUGAUGAUGCCUGCUUAUCUGGUUAAACUGUCAGAACAGGAAUUCCAACCCAUAUCUUGGCUUGGCAAACACCGGCUAUGAUUUGAGGUUCGUUUUCACAUGGUAUCGUUUUUUGUUUUUGGGCAGGCAUGGUAUGACCUCCUUCUCUUUGUCUCAUUAGGAGCUCACAUCUGAGCAGCAGCUCGAGAUCAAACACGAAUCCUACGACUGAAACCCAUUUUGGGCUGUUUCAGCAGCUCAAAGAACGAGAUAUCAGAAAGCAAUGGUGAUUUUUCCUUACGAAAAGAAAUCACAGCACCUUUUUUAUGUCAACCGUUGAGUAGUCUUCACCACACCAUUGCAGCUUAAAGAAUAACACUGUGGGAGAUGACUCUCUGUGGAUGACCAUCUCCGACAUUCUGACAAAGUUACAUGUUCAUGAAGUCAGGGAGGAGAAACAAUGAGGUUAUGAUGAUAGUGUUCACUGAGCUCAUUUAGUCGGGCAUUGGAUUUCUGUAGCCGGUGUCUUGAUGGGGCAAUCUGAAUUUCUGGAAUUUGCAGCUAUGGCUGGUGCAAAGAAUUCAAUGCCCCACAUAUGCUGAGCCUCUUGCAUCAUUUUUCCAUUACCAACGAGGCCAACAAGAGGAGAAAAGGACCAAAGGACUUAUGGGUGGAUGCCCCAUUAUGCAGUCUUAUGCUCCUAUCUGUCUUUAGUUAGACAAGCACAGGCUUAUCUUUGCCCCGCCCCCCAGUGACCUGCUCGGGGAUAACUUUUCGCACCACAGCUUGGGGAAUGUAUCUUAACUUUGUAUGGCAAAUGAACUCCUCGUUUUAGUCUUCUUUUCCUUCUUUGGGCUCGGUGUAAUAGUAGCCGUGGACCUUGAAGCAGAUAAUAGCUUGUUGAUAUAUUGUUUUUUGUAUUUCUUCCAGGUUCAUAGUGUUGGAGAACAUCUACUUUCAAAACUGUGGAUUCUUGUUUCAUGUUGGUGCAUGGUAAUUAUGAAACGACGAAAAAUUAUAUAA